AGCGAACGCUGGCGGCAGGCUUAACACAUGCAAGUCGAGCGGGCACUUCGGUGUCAGCGGCAGACGGGUGAGUAACACGUGGGAACGUACCCUUUGGUUCGGAAUAACGCUGGGAAACUAGCGCUAAUACCGGAUACGCCCUUUUGGGGAAAGGCUUGCUGCCGAAGAAUCGGCCCGCGUCUGAUUAGCUAGUUGGUGGGGUAAUGGCCUACCAAGGCGACGAUCAGUAGCUGGUCUGAGAGGAUGAUCAGCCACACUGGGACUGAGACACGGCCCAGACUCCUACGGGAGGCAGCAGUGGGGAAUAUUGGACAAUGGGCGCAAGCCUGAUCCAGCCAUGCCGCGUGAGUGAUGAAGGCCUUAGGGUUGUAAAGCUCUUUUGUCCGGGACGAUAAUGACGGUACCGGAAGAAUAAGCCCCGGCUAACUUCGUG
rnacentral:rRNA from 1 species